rnacentral:rRNA from 1 species
GUCCACGCCGUAAACGAUGGAUACUAGCUGUUGGGUGCAAACUCAGUGGCUAAGCGAAAGUGAUAAGUAUCCCACCUGGGGAGUACGUUCGCAAGAAUGAAACUCAAAGGAAUUGACGGGGGCCCCGCACAAGCGGUGGAGCAUGUGGUUUAAUUCGAUGAUACGCGAGGAACAUUACCAAGGCUUAAAUGUAGAUUGACCGGUUUGGAAACAGAUCUUUCGCAAGACAAUUUACAAGGUGCUGCAUGGUUGUCGU